AGCAGCCGCGGUAAUCCCAGCUCCAAUAGCGUAUAUUAAAGUUGUUGCAGUUAAAAAGCUCGUAGUUGAAUUUCGGGAUCAGUACGCUGGUCGUGCCUUUGGUAUGUACUGGUGUCACUGAUUCCUCCCUUCUGAAGAACCGUUAUGCCAUUUAUUUGGUGUGGCGGGGAAUCAGGACUGUUACUUUAGAAAAAAUUAGAGUGUUUAAAGCAGGCUCGCGCUUGAAUACAUUAGCAUGGGAUAAUGAAAUAGGACGUUUGAUUCUAUUUUGUUGGUUUCUAGGAUCGACGUAAUGAUUAAUAGGGAUAGUUGGGGGCAUUAGUAUUCAAUUGUCAGAGGUGAAAUUCUUGGAUUUAUUGAAGACUAACUACUGCGAAAGCAUUUGCCAAGGAUGUUUUCAUUAAUCAAGAACGAAAGUUAGGGGAUCGAAGACGAUCAGAUACCGUCGUAGUCUUAACCAUAAACUAUGCCGACUA
rnacentral:rRNA from 1 species